rnacentral:tRNA from 1 species
UCUCUUAAAGUAAAAUUUUACAUUUAAUUUCGACUUAAAAUUUGAUUUUAUUAAAAAUCUUAGAGAG